UCAAUCUUUUAGAGCACUAUUAAAGUUAUUAGUGUUAAGAAUA
rnacentral:tRNA from 1 species